rnacentral:lncRNA from 1 species
CCCUGUUUGAUUUUAACUCUUUCUCAUUACAUGCUGCAAUUUCAAGCGUCAUAGCUCUAAUGUUUUUAGUACAAAUACAAUGAAACCCAUUUCAUAUUUAACAAUUGUACAGAAAAAAAAUAAACAUAUUUUAAUUGCAUAUAAAAAUGCACUGGUUCCCAGUAUUUUUGCACUGCAAAAACAGGAUUUCUGAUUAAAAAUCCUAGAUUUG